GCAUUGGUGAUUCAGUGGUAGCAUGCUCGCCUGUCACGCGGGCGGCCCGGGUUCGAUUCCCUCGAUGCA
rnacentral:tRNA from 1 species